rnacentral:rRNA from 1 species
AAAACACCUUAUACCACCACUUUUAUCCUAACCCACCAAAUUGACUCUCCUGCUGGAUCAAUCAGUCGGCCUGAUAUUAAAUUUAAAGUGUACUUUGAUGCCAACCUACUUGAGGUUAUUUCAGUGUGUAACGAAACCACUCUUAACACCAAUCAUCCGUUCUUAGCUAAAUGUUCUGAUAUGGAUAUACAAUGGGAACUCAAUACUUUUAUCGAAAGAUGGUUAGAUUACUGCUUAAGUAAAUAUACCCCAGAGCAGCCUCUCUUGGCUAAAUCCAAUUCACCUUCUCAAGGAAUAUCAUGGCAGACGCUGUAGACCCAGAAGCUAAAGGGAAGCUUGUCAUUGCAAUCUCAUCAAGAGCUUUGUUUGAUUUAGAUGAAUCACAUCAAAUUUUUAAAGAGCAUGGUGUGGAGGCUUAUGCCAAACACCAAGAAGAAAAUGAAGAGGUUAUUUUAAAACCUGGUGUUGGAUUUACACUGGUUAAAAAACUGUUAAAGCUUAAUACCAAGCAAAAUCCAAUUGAUGUUAUUUUACUCUCUCGCAACAGCGCUGAUACAGGCUUACGUAUCUUUAAUUCGAUCGAACAUUAUGGUCUUAACAUCUCGCGAGCAGCCUUCACUCGUGGUGAAAGCACGCACACCUUGGUUGGUGCUUUUGAGGCAGACUUAUUUUUAUCGAGCAAUUAUCAGGAUGUGCAAUCUGCGCCGAAAAUAUAACGGGGCUAAGAUAAACACCGAAGCUUUAGGUUCGGAUAACAGAAAACGGAAAACGGAAAACGGAGGAUAGAGAGUAAAUAUCAAGAUGGUGUAGAGAAUUUAUUUGUAUACCAAAUUUCGUAUAAAUUGAUGAUAGAAAUUCAUAAAGAGAGUUUAGAGUUUCCAAAGAUUGAACAAUAUGGUGGUAUUGCAGAUCAAUUAAGAAGAUCAAGCAAAUCAAUUACUGCAAAUAUAGUAGAAGGAUUUGGAAAGCAACAUUUCUUUAAAGGUGAAUUUCAGAGAAUGUUGGUUUACUCCAUAGGAAGUUGCGACGAAACAAUUCUUUGGAUAAAAACAGCAAGAGAUUUGGGAUAUAUGGAUAAGAUAACAUCAGAUAGAUAUUUAAAUGAGUAUCAAAUACUUGUUAAAAAACUUUCUACAUUCACAAAAAAUAUGAAACGAUAGAUAAACUAUCUUCCGUUUUCCGUUUUUCUGUUUUCAGCUAUCCGAUCGGUAGGAGAGCGUUCUAUUCAGCAUUGAAGCUGUAUCGGUAAGAAGCAGUGGAGCGGUGUGAAGUGAGCAUGCAGGCAUGAGUAGCGAUAAAAAAAGUGAGAAUCUUUUUCGCCGAAAACCCAAGGUUUCCUACGCGAUGCUCGUCAUCGUAGGGUUAGUCGGGUCCUAAGACAAGUCCGAAAGGGGUAGUCGAUGGCAAAUUGGUUAAUAUUCCAAUACCAACAUUGUAUUGUUUGAGUGAUGGGGGGACGCAUAGAGUUAAUUGAGGUCACUGAUGGAAUAGUGGCUCGAAGGAUGUAGGUUGAUAAGUAGGAAAAUCCGCUUGUCGUGUAACCGAGAUCUUACAGGCUGAACAAUAUCUUCGGAUAGCGUUUAGAAUCAAUGAUACUGUCGUGCCGAGAAAAGCCUCUAAACGAGAUAUAAUGUUGCCCGUACCGUAAACCGACACAGGUGGGUGAGAUGAGUAUUCUAAGGCGCGUGGAAGAACCCUGGUUAAGGAACUCUGCAAACUAGCACCGUAACUUCGGAAUAAGGUGUGCCUACUUUUGUAUAUGGAUUUACUCCAGAAAGCGAAAGAGGUUGCAACAAAGAGUCCCUCCCGACUGUUUAUCAAAAACACAGCACUUUGCUAACUCGUAAGAGGAUGUAUAAGGUGUGACGCCUGCCCGGUGCUUGAAGGUUAAUUGAUGGGGUUAGCGAUUCAUCGCGAAGCUCUUGAUCGAAGCCCAAGUAAACGGCGGCCGUAACUAUAACGGUCCUAAGGUAGCGAAAUUCCUUGUCGGUUAAAUACCGACCUGCAUGAAUGGCGUAACGAGAUGGGAGCUGUCUCAACCAGGGAUCCAGUGAAAUUGUAGUGGAGGUGAAAAUUCCUCCUACCCGCGGCAAGACGGAAAGACCCCGUGCACCUUUACUAUAGCUUGACACUGCAAUUGGGAUAUAUUUGUGCAGGAUAGGUGGGAGGCUUUGAUGCUGUGGCGCUAGCUGCAGCGGAGCCAUCCUUGAGAUACCACCCUUAUAUAUUCUGAUUGCUAACUUGCGCCAGUUAUCCUGGCGGAGGACAAUGUCUGGUGGGUAGUUUGACUGGGGCGGUCGCCUCCUAAAAAGUAACGGAGGCUUACAAAGGUUGGCUCAUGUCGGUUGGAAAUCGACAGCAGAGUAUAAUGGUACAAGCCAGCUUAACUGCGAGACGUACAUGUCGAGCAGAGACGAAAGUCGGUCAUAGUGAUCCGGUGGUUCUGUGUGGAAGGGCCAUCGC